rnacentral:rRNA from 1 species
UACGGAGGGUGCAAGCGUUAUCCGGAUUCACUGGGCUUAAAGGGUGCGUAGGCGGGCAGGUAAGUCAGUGGUGAAAUCCCCAAGCUUAACUUGGGAACUGCCGUUGAUACUAUCUGUCUUGAAUACCGUGGAGGUGAGCGGAAUAUGUCAUGUAGCGGUGAAAUGCUUAGAUAUGACAUAGAACACCAAUUGCGAAGGCAGUUCGCUACACGAAUAUUGACGCUGAGGCACGAAAGCGUGGGGAUCAAACAGG